AGGCUAAUACCGGAUAUGACCACUUUGGGCAUCCAACGGUGGUGGGAAAGGAUUCUGGUCUGGGAUGGGCCCCGCGGCCUAUCAGCUAGUUGGUGGGGUAAUGGCCUACCAAGGCGACGACGGGUAGCCGGCCUGAGAGGGCGACCGGCCACACUGGGGACUGAGACACGUCCCAGACUCCUACGGGAGGCAGCAGUGGGGAAUAUUGCGCAAUGGGCGAAAGCCUGACGCAGCGACGCCGCGUGAGGGACGAAGGUCUUCGGAUUGUAAACCUCUUUCAGCAGGGACGAAGCGAAAGUGACUGUACCUGCAGAAGAAGCACCGGCUAACUACGUGCCAGCAGCCGCGGUAAUACGUAGGGUGCAAGCGUUGUCCGGAUUUAUUGGGCGUAAAGAGCUCGUAGGCGGUUUGUCGCGUCGGAUGUGAAAACCCAAUGGCUUAACCUUGGGCCUGCAUUCGAUACGGGCAAACUAGAGUGUGGUAGGGGAGACUGGAACUCCUGGUGUAGCGGUGGAAUGCGCAGAUAUCAG
rnacentral:rRNA from 1 species